GGAGAAAGAGCCCUGAAGCCUGAAUAUAUAAGAUUGUCGGAGGAAGGACGCUAAAAACAACUCCAGGAAGUCCCAAGGAGCCAGAAAAAGAAGCCCAGGGUGAGGGUAUUAAAGGUGAGAGAAAUGUGGUUCUCUGAGGCCAGAAACUGAAAAAGAAUGUUUC
rnacentral:lncRNA from 1 species